rnacentral:tRNA from 1 species
AGUCUUGUAGUCAAAAAUGAUUUCAAAUUGCAAGUUUGAAGGUGGAAUUUUCCUAAGGCUU